rnacentral:lncRNA from 1 species
CAGAGCCUCAAAGAGCACCCAGCAUAACUGUGGGAGAAUAGUAAGCAUUGGACACAAAAUGGUUUAGGCAAAUAAUGAUGAACAAAAAUGGUCAGUCUGUGUUCCUGCUGACCCAGCACAGUGGGGACGCUGUGUAGGACAUGACCUUUGGGGGAAAGGACACAAGAACUCAGCGUGGGGGAUCCAGAAAAGAAGUCGCACGUAUUGAAGCCAGUAACGCCAAGCCAGUGAAUUCUCCUUGACGAGAAAGACCCACUUACUCUGCAGAAGAGAUAUAUGACAGCUGACAAUCCCUGGAGGAGAAUCUUUCUACUAAAUUGGCAUCUAUUCAACGAAGACGAAUCCUGGAAUGGGGAUGGAAAUGAUGGCUCAUGUCUUAGCAAACUACCAAACUGAUCCGAGAGGACAGGGAAGUCAGUGUGGGCGGCUCUAAGGAGCCUCCCUCUCUACAGCUGCGGCUCAGAGGAUUACGGCGCUUCAUCCACAAGGCAACAUUGCACAAGUAGCUUUUGAACAAAAGUCAUGGAUACUAUUAAUGAUAUGUUCCCACACACAUUUAGUGUCGUCUCAAAAUUCACGCUGUCAACUGUCUCUAGGAAUCAUUUCCAUCUGAGAACAGACCACACAAAGACACAGUGAAACUCAGUUUCUGCAGAAUUUGAUUUCAUUUGAGUUACUGGGGAACAAAGCAAUUAGACAAUGAAUAAUAGCUCAAGACAGGCUGAAGCUGAAGAUUUCUGCAAAAGAAUGAAGAGGAAACGUUUUGAUCCUGAGCAGAUGUUCUCCCUAGAUUGCUUCACCUGAGGUUGAUUGACUUUUGGAAACGAGAUUUGUUCCCAGUGCUUUGUGAGUCUCUUGUUGGAAGGACUGUCUUUAAAUUAAAGCAAUUAGAGUUACUUUAUAAGAUUUACCCAAAUAUAAGAGCUGAAGAGAAUAAUUCAAAUUGAUCAGAAGAAAAUACUCAAUUACUGACAAAUGUCAAUUACAUCAAUAGCCUAGGCUGCUCUUGAACUCCUGGGCUCAAACGAUCCUCC